UACGUAGGGGGCUAGCGUUGUCCGGAAUCAUUGGGCGUAAAGCGCGCGUAGGCGGCCCGGUAAGUCCGCUGUAAAAGUCAAAGGCUCAACCUUUGAAUGUCAGUGGAUACUGCCGGGCUAGAGUCCGGAAGAGGCGAGUGGAACUCCUGGUGUAGCGGUGGAAUGCGCAGAUAUCAGGAAGAACACCGGUGGCGAAGGCGGCCAUCUGGACCGGUACUGACGCUGGAGGCGCGGAAAGCCAGGGGAGCGAAAUGGG
rnacentral:rRNA from 1 species